rnacentral:misc_RNA from 1 species
AGAGUUAAAUAGUACGUGAAAUUGUUGAAAGGGAAACGAUUGAAGUCAGUCAUGCCGGUGGGAAUCAACUUAGGGGAAACUCUGGGUGCACUUCUUCGCUUGGCAGGUUAGCGUCGAUUUUGGAUGUCAUAAAAUGAUUGGGGGAAGGUAGCUCCUUCUGGAGUGUUAUAGCCCUUGGUAGAUGUGAUGUCUGGGAUCGAGGAUUGCAACAAAUAUCCUUCGGGGCUAGUCGCCUAAUCUCUAAUUGGUGUUGGGUUACGGAUAGCAUGCUGACCAUGAUCUAAUUACUGGUUAAAAGGUUAGAGCGUGCAUAAAUUUGUUAAGGAUGCUGACGUAAUGGCUUUAAAUGA